CCUACGGGAGGCAGCAGUGGGGAAUUUUGGACAAUGGGCGCAAGCCUGAUCCAGCAAUGCCGCGUGCAGGAUGAAGGCCUUCGGGUUGUAAACUGCUUUUGUACGGAACGAAAAAGUCUGCCCUAAUACGGUGGGCCCAUGACGGUACCGUAAGAAUAAGCACCGGCUAACUACGUGCCAGCAGCCGCGGUAAUACGUAGGGUGCGAGCGUUAAUCGGAAUUACUGGGCGUAAAGCGUGCGCAGGCGGUUAUAUAAGACAGAUGUGAAAUCCCCGGGCUCAACCUGGGACCUGCAUUUGUGACUGUAUAGCUAGAGUACGGUAGAGGGGGAUGGAAUUCCGCGUGUAGCAGUGAAAUGCGUAGAUAUGCGGAGGAACACCGAUGGCGAAGGCAAUCCCCUGGACCUGUACUGACGCUCAUGCACGAAAGCGUGGGGAGCAAACAGGAUUAGAUACCCUGGUAGUCCACGCCCUAAACGAUGUCAACUGGUUGUUGGGUCUUCACUGACUCAGUAACGAAGCUAACGCGNGAGUGACGCGNGGNGACGCGCGAGUAGAGANANAGAGUAGACGNGNGAGAGNGCGAGACGACGACGAGGGAGGAGG
rnacentral:rRNA from 1 species